GGCUUGGUUGCACUUCCUGAAAUGCUUCCAGAUUUUCUCAGCAGCGUCAUGUAAAAUGACACAGCGUGCCGAAGGACGGAAAGGUGCUUGUCGGACACACUCGGCAAAUCUUCCGAGCACAGCGGAGUGAAGUUUGCAAAACAGGCUGGAGGAAAUUCUGCUCAUCAUUUUAGCCUGCGUUCAUGCUGACUCCACCGGCCACGUGCAAGCAGCCUCCAGGAAUGCAAACCAGGUCUCUUCGAGGGCAUUUCCGGGGGAAGCUGCUUGAGAAGGCAGAAUGAAAGAGCAUCCUUUAAAAGCUCCUUCUGAGCUCUGUGGGCUGGUGGGACCCAGCCCUUCAGUGGGUCCCCCAAGGACAUUUUCCAGAGGAUUCCUCUCACCUGUGGAUGCAUGCAGCCAGGAUACCAGCCCCCGGCAAGCGCUCACCUGCAUUCAGACCCUACGCGUGAAUUUCGCUGAGACGCAGAUGGAAUCACACACUACGUGGCCUUCCGUGUGCAGACAUUCGUGCCCUCCGGCUAAUCCAAGUGUCAACAGGACCCCAUAAAUCUGAUCGUUGUACUCUCCACUUUAGCGACUUUACCUUUAACUUCCGACUCUUGAUUUCAGCUCAGGUCAUGAUCUCUGGGUCGUGAGAUGGAGCCCCACGGGCGUGGGGCUCCAUGCUGAGUGUGGAAUCUUCUUGAGAUUCUCU